rnacentral:rRNA from 1 species
GACGAACGCUGGCGGCGUGCUUAACACAUGCAAGUCGAACGGAAAGGCCCUGCUUUUGUGGGGUGCUCGAGUGGCGAACGGGUGAGUAACACGUGAGUAACCUGCCCUUGACUUUGGGAUAACUUCAGGAAACUGGGGCUAAUACCGGAUAGCAGCUCCCGCUGCAUGGAGGGGGUUGGAAAGUUUCGGCGGGUGGGGAUGGACUCGCGGCUUAUCAGCUUGUUGGUGGGCGAGUGGCUUACCAAGGCUUUGACGGGUCGCCGGCCUGGGAGGGUGACCGGCCACCAUGGGCCUGCGGUACGGCCCAGACGCCAACGGUGGGCAACAGGGGGGAAUAUUGCACAAUGGGCGGAAGCCUGAUGCAGCGACGCCGCGUUCGGGAUGACGGCCUUCGGGUUGUAAACCGCUUUCGCCUGUGACGAAGCGUGAGUGACGGUAAUGGGUAAAGAAGCACCGGCUAACUACGUG